UCUCCGUAGGUGAACCUGCGGAGGGAUCAUUACCGAGUGCGGGCUCACGCCCGACCUCCAACCCUUUGUGAACACAACGUGUUGCUUCGGGGGCGACCCUGCCGUUUCAACGGCGAGCGCCCCCGGAGGCCUUCAAACACUGCAUCUUUGCGUCGGAGUUUAAGUAAAUUAAACAAAACUUUCAACAACGGAUCUCUUGGUUCUGGCAUCGAUGAAGAACGAAGC
rnacentral:misc_RNA from 1 species